UUUGUUUGACCUUUGUUGACUUCUGUUGGCCUUGGAUCAUGGUUGUUUUGAUCAUAGGUCUCAUCAAACUCAAUGGAUAUUGGGUGUUGAUGGGGUGAAAACCCUAAUCCACCAAAAUGAAUGAUUGAUUUUGAUGAUGACUUGACCAAUCUGUUGAUCCAAUUUGAGUUUGGUUUCUCUUAUCCUCUUCUUCUUCAUC
rnacentral:lncRNA from 1 species